rnacentral:rRNA from 1 species
GAUGAACGCUAGCGGCAGGCUUAACACAUGCAAGUCGAGGGGCAGCAUAAACAUUGCUUGCAAUGUUUGAUGGCGACCGGCGCACGGGUGCGUAACGCGUAUGUAACCUACCUCAAACAGGGGCAUAACACUGAGAAAUUGGUACUAAUUCCCCAUAACACUUAAGGAGGCAUCUCCUUAGGUUGAAAGUUCCGGCGGUUUGAGAUGGACAUGCGUUGUAUUAGCUAGAUGGCGAGGUAACGGCUCACCAUGGCGACGAUACAUAGGGGGACUGAGAGGUUAACCCCCCACAUUGGUACUGAGACACGGACCAAACUCCUACGGGACGGCAGCAGUGAGGAAUAAUUGGUCAAUGGACGCAAGUCUGAACCAGCCAUGCCGCGUGCCAGGAUGACGGCUCGUAUGAGUUGUAAACUGC